AUGACUGUAUCUAAUCCCAAUCACUUCCUAAAGUCCCCACCCCAAAACACCAGUAAGUUUCCAUUUACACCCUCACUCUGGGGAUCCGAUUUCAACACACUAACCCUUAGAGGCCACUCAGACCACACCCAACCACAGCAUCUACUCCGAGACCGAAACAGAGACCAAGACCGGCUUCCAGGAGCAGAGUGCUGGGGGCAGGCAGGCUCUCAGGAGGUGAGACCUCUGAUGUUGGCAUGCCAGGCUGAAGAAUUCGGGCUGGAUUCACACAGAAGUGAGGACGUUUUUAUUUGUUUGUUUGUUCUCUGCAGAACUAGCAACAAAACUGAGAGCCUUUGUACUGAGCUACACCCCCAGCCCUUCCUUUAAUUUUUUUAUGUCAAGACAGAGUCUAAGUUGCUCGAUUCUCCAGGCUGGGCUUCAGUUUGUGAUUCUCCUGCUCUAGGUCUCGCAGAGCGCUGGGAUCACAGGUGUGUGUCACCUGCCCGGACAAGGAGGUUGUUUUAAUCACAGGUUUACAUACAGAGUACCCCAGACUUGCCAGGGCACAUAUUCCAGCCACACUCUUAGGACUGGAUCAGCCUUAAAAGAUGACUUCUGAAACCGCAGCUCUGAAAUCCC
rnacentral:lncRNA from 1 species